rnacentral:rRNA from 1 species
UCUAAGUAUAAAUAACUUUAUAUUGUGAAACUGCGAAUGGCUCAUUAAAUCAGUUAUGAUCUACGUGACAAAUUCUUUACUACUUGGAUAACCGUGGUAAUUCUAGAGCUAAUACAUGCAAAAAAGCCCUGACUUACGAAGGGGUGCACUUAUUAGAUAAAACCAACGCGGGGUAAAACCUGUUUCUUGGUGAAUCAUAAUAAUUAAGCGGAUCGCAUGGCCUUGUGCCGGCGACGGUCCACUCGAUUUUCUGCCCUAUCAUGGUUGAGAUUGUAAGAUAGAGGCUUACAAUGCCUACAACGGGUAACGGGGAAUUAGGGUUCGAUUCCGGAGAGGGAGCCUGAGAAACGGCUACCACAUCCAAGGAAGGCAGCAGGCGCGCAAAUUACCCAAUCCCGACACGGGGAGGUAGUGACAAUACAUAACAAUGCAGGGCCUUUAAGGUCUUGCAAUUGGAAUGAGUACAAUUUAAAUCCCUUAACGAGGAUCAAUUGGAGGGCAAGUCUGGUGCCAGCAGCCGCGGUAAUUCCAGCUCCAAUAGCGUAUAUUAAAGUUGUUGCAGUUAAAACGUCCGUAGUCAAACUUUAGUCUUACCGGCGUAGUGGCCUGGUCUUCAUUGACCAAGCUCAUUGCUGCCGGAGACUCCAUGUCCAUUGACUCCUAGUCCUCGUGGCUAGGGUUUUCUGGACAAUUACCAUGAGCAAAUCAGAGUGUUUAAAGCAGGCUUUUAAGCUUGAAUGUGUUAGCAUGGAAUAAUGAAAUAUGACUUUAGUCCUAUUUUCGUUGGUUUAGGUACUUCAGUAAUGAUGAAUAGAAACGGUUAGGGGCAUUUGUAUUUGGUCGCUAGAGGUGAAAUUCUUGGAUUGACCGAAGACAAACUACUGCGAAAGCAUUUGACCCGGGACGUUUUCAUUGAUC